rnacentral:rRNA from 1 species
GAUGAACGCUGGCGGCGUGCCUAAUACAUGCAAGUCGAGCGAACAGAUGAGGAGCUUGCUCCUCUGACGUUAGCGGCGGACGGGUGAGUAACACGUGGAUAACCUACCUAUAAGACUGGGGUAACUUCGGGAAACCGGAGCUAAUACCGGAUAAUAUAUUGAACCGCAUGGUUCAAUAGUGAAAGCCGGUUUUGCUGUCACUUAUUGAUGGAUCCGCGCCGCAUUAGCUAGUUGGUACGGUAACGGCCUACCAAGGCAACGAUGCGUAGCCGACCUGAGAGGGUGAUCGGCCACACUGGAACUGAGACACGGUCCAGACUCCUACGGGAGGCAGCAGUAGGGAAUCUUCCGCAAUGGGCGAAAGCCUGACGCAGCAACGCCGCGUGAGUGAUGAAGGUCUUCGGAUCGUAAAGCUCUGUUAUUAGGGAAGAACAAAUGUGUAAGUAACUAUGCACGUCUUGACGGUACCUAAUCAGAAAGCCACGGCUAACUACGUG